UCUCCCACACGUUUUUCCCUCUCUCUUUCUCUCCUUCUCCGCCAAUCCUUCACUAAUUCCUUGUUCUUGCAUCAUUUUGGAGUUGGAAACUCAAGAUUCAUCGAAGAAUCGCAUCAUUCGUCAUUCCUACCGAUUGUUUUUCAAGAGAAAGGGUUGUUGUGCGUACGUGGGCACAAGGAACAAGGGUUGCUUUGAGUUGUGUUUUGUGUUAUCUAAGCAAGCGAGGUUGUGUACACAGGUGGGAUCGGGAGCCGUCCUUG